rnacentral:rRNA from 1 species
CAGUCGCCGCGGUAAAACGUAGGUGGCAAGCGUUGUCCGGAAUUAUUGGGCGUAAAGGGCUCGCAGGCGGUUUCUUAAGUCUGAUGUGAAAGCCCCCGGCUCAACCGGGGAGGGUCAUUGGAAACUGGGAAACUUGAGUGCAGAAGAGGAGAGUGGAAUUCCACGUGUAGCGGUGAAAUGCGUAGAGAUGUGGAGGAACACCAGUGGCGAAGGCGACUCUCUGGUCUGUAACUGACGCUGAGGAGCGAAAGCGUGGGGAGCGAACAGGAUUAGAUACCCGCGUAGUCCCUGUCUCUUAUAA